rnacentral:rRNA from 1 species
AUGGGCGCGGACGAGGAGGAGCACCAGUCCCCCGCGCGGAAGCGCGAGCGCGAGGAGGGGGAGGAGCCCGCGGCCGCCGACGAGAAGCACCCGCGCACGGCGGACGAGUCGGAUGGCGCCUCCCUGCUGGGGCUCGCCAACUACGCAGACGAGGAGGAGGAGCACGGGGCCCCGAGGGGGCACGCGAACGGCCGGCCCCGGGAGGAGGAGGAGGAGGAAGACGAUGAGGAUGAGGAGGAGGACGAGAGGAGGGCUCCGGAGAGGCGUCCCAGGCAGGUCGAGCUGCACCGGGACUGCCCCUACCUCGACACCGUCAAUCGACAGGAAUUUGUGAGCUGGAGUUCCAAAAUUUGGAGUUCUCCUGACUUUGAACAUUGCAUUGCCCGCAAAGUGUAG